GACGAACGCUGGCGGCGUGCUUAACACAUGCAAGUCGAACGGAAAGGCCCUGCUUUUGGGGGGUGCUCGAGUGGCGAACGGGUGAGUAACACGUGAGUAACCUGCCCUUGACUGUGGGAUAACUUCAGGAAACUGGGGCUAAUACCGGAUAGGAGCUCCUGCUGCAUGGUGGGGGUUGGAAAGUUUCGGCGGUUGGGGAUGGACUAGCGGCUUAUCAGCUUGUUGGAGGGGUAGUGGCUUACCAAGGCUUUGACGGGUAGCCGGCCUGAGAGGGUGACCGGCCACAUUGGGAUUGAGAUACGGCCCAGACUCCUCCGGGAGGCAGCAGUGGGGAAGAUUGCACAAUGGGCGGAAGCCUGACGCAGCAACGCCGCGUGGGGGAUGACGGCCUUCGGGUUGUAAACCAAUUUCGCCUGUGACGAGGCGUGAGUGACGGUAAUGGGUAAAGAAGCACCGGCUAACUACGUG
rnacentral:rRNA from 1 species